UACCACAUCCAAGGAUGGCAGCAGGCGCGCAAAUUACCCAAUCCAGACACUGGGAGGUGGUGACGAGAAAUACCAGGUCGUUCCCAAAAGGAUUCGACACUGGAAUGAGUGCAACUUAAAAACUUCAACGAGUAACAACUGGAGGGCAAGUCUGGUGCCAGCAGCCGCGGUAAUUCCAGCUCCAGUAGUGUAUCCAAACGUUGCUGCGGUUAAAACGCUCGUAGUUGGACAAGAGAGUAGCUUGGUGCGGGCGGGAAGUGAUAAUAAUCAUUGUAAGCAUUUGCUUGAAGGUUUGCUUCGGUAGAUUGAUAGUAAAUUGCUGCUUUGAGGAAACGCUUGUCGACCAUGCUGCCAGGCUACUUGUAAUAUUUCGUGAGAAUACUACAUGGUCUUUAUUGUAUUGUGUAGUGUGUCUUACGUAGUGUGCCUUGAAUAAAUCAGAGUGCUCAAUGCAAGUUAUUUGCUUGAAUGUUAAUAGCAUGGAACGAAUGUUUUGUGGAAGUGUAAUAUAAUAUAUAUUACUUGUAGUAUAUGUUAUAAUAUACAGCACCAACCACGAAGCGGAACAUUGGUUGCCGACUUCGGGUGAGGAUUAAGAGGGGCAUUUGGGGGUAUUAGUAUUUGGCCGCGAGAGGUGAAAUUCUUGGACCGGCCAAGGACUAACAAGUGCGAAAGCAUUUACCAAGUAUGUUCCCAUUAAUCAAGAACGAAAGUGAGA
rnacentral:rRNA from 1 species